rfam:Ignavibacteria bacterium RIFOXYD12_FTLL_36_8 rifoxyd3_full_scaffold_606, whole genome shotgun sequence.
UUUCGGGUGCCGGUUGACAAGUUAGUACCCAACCCCGUCAGGUCCGGAAGGAAGCAGCGGUAAGUAUGCGGCUUGGGUAAUCGGCUACCCGAUUUUA